UCAGGGGCAUUUUCCAAGCUCACGGGCGGGAGGGGUUUCCGUCUUAUGAAGACAUUUUCUCCUCUUCUCUCUGCCUCUUCCACGCUUGCUGGUUCCCACUUCCCCUUCCCUGUCCUGAGCUGAAGUGUGACGGGCACUACCUUCUGUGGCCUCUGCUCUGCCCCAGGAGGACAGCCUGGAGGAAGAGGGAAUGGCUCCAGCCCUGACAGCCAGGCCCGGGAAGAUGAGUACCACUUGCUGCUUUCCUGAAAUAGCAUCUCAGGCCAGAGACCGUGGGAUAGGUUUUUUUGUCCUAUGCUAUAACACUAGGAAUUGUGGGCAUCAGACAAUCAUAUUUAGAGCUGAAAGAUACCAUAGACACCAAGUUAUCCUCUCCACAUGCAAAAAAAGACCUAAUUACAUUUACUUUUUGUUUUUUUAAAUUUUGUGUUCUAAAUUCUUUAGCUCCUUCCACUUCUCCCCCCACCCAUUGAUAAGGCAGACAAUAGGAAAUCCGUUUUGCAUGUGAAGUAAUGCAAAACAUUUUCAUAUUGACCCCAUCUAAAAAAAAGUGCAAGAAAAAUGAAAGUGAAAAAGAAUAUUCAUCAGUCUGCACUCCCAAGUUCAUCAGUUCUCUUGUCAUAUUUUAUAAUUAGUCCUUUGGAAUUUUCAUGGAUCAUUUUAAUAUUACAUAAACUGUUUGAAAAUACAGAAAGAGAAAGAUUCCUACCAAAUUGCUUUUACAAAGAUGAUGUUACCUAAAAUGGAGAGAUGACAGUACUAUUCCAUCAAGGUUAUAUAUUAUGAGAUUGGACAUAUAUAAGGCAUUCAUAUUUGGUUCAAAAUUAAGAGCACUAUUGACAUAAUAAACUAUAUAAGGUGAACAAUAAAAAGCAUAUGGUUAUAUCAGUAGAUGCGCACGAGGCUUUUGACAAGAUAUGACACCUAUUCCUCUUAAAAAUGUAAAUGAUAGGAAUAAAGGAAAAUUAAGGUUCACUGAGGUUCCCCCUCACACUUAUCAGAUUGGCAGAAUUGACAAAAAAGUAAAAUGAGAAAUUCUAGAUGGCCUGUGGGAAAACAAAUACCUUAAUAUGUUGUUGAUAGUUGUUGUGGUAGUGGUGGAUCCUUUUCCAGAACCAUGACAUCAGGAAGAUGGGAACAUGAGUUGCAAAUGAAUUGGGUUUAAGGGAAGAAAGGCUGUGCAAGGUCACCAAGCCUCACUUUCUCAUCCCAUCUGCGUCCAGUGGCAAGAUAGAGAUCAGGAACAGUGGAGAUGGUUCUGCAUGCUGUGAGAGACCUUGGCCUUUUGAAGCUAAGGUCUUUAGGAGUUCUCACUUUGACUGAGGCAAAGCCCCAUUAAGUGAUUAAGGCUGGUUUAGAAAUGUGGGAAGGAAUGUCCCUUUUUGUAUCACAAAAAAUAAAUAAAUCUAUCUGAGAGGGCAGAACCUCAGGGUUUCUGUCCAAAACAGAAACAAUUACUGGAGCCCAAACCAUGACCACUAAGUGGUGCUUGGGCUGGGAUCUAGUGUUGGCUGUUCUGUGAGAGCCAGUGAAUUGGGUUUAAGGCUUGAUCUUUAAGAAAGAAAUAAGCCAGUAAACUCCAAGAGCAUGAUAGCUCCUGUGGACAGAGGGAGAAGUAGGAGUAAAGGGAGAGGAAGGAGCUGAUUUGCUCCACUGGCCAGUUGGGUCCCCAGUGGGGCAGUUCAAACUACUCACAGGUUAUUGUUUGUCCUUCAUUCUGAAGAGGACCAUGUCAUCAGGAGGAUGAUUCCAUGACUUGCAAAUGAAUUGGUUUUAAGUGAGGGUGGGCUGUACAAGGUCACAAGCCUCACUUUUCUCCUCUGAAGCCAUUUGAGUCCAGUGGCAAGAUAUAGAUCAGCAAGACUUGAGAUGGCCCCUCCUAUUGGUGGAUCUACAACUUGGACCAGCCAUUUUUGAAAGCACUUUGGAAUAAUGCUGAGAAAAUUACUAAACUGUGCACAUACUCUUUGGCCCAGCAGUACUACUACUAGGUGCAAAGGGAUCAGAAAAAGAGAAAAUGACCCAUAUGUACAAAAACAUUCAUAGCAGCUUUUUGUGGUAACAGAAUUGGAAACUGAGAAGAUUCCCAUCAUUUGUGGAAUGGCUAAACAUUAUUAUGGCAUGCAGAGGUGAUAGAAAAAUAUUGUACUAUAAGAAAUCACACAAGGAGCUUUUUCAUAGAACCCAAGGAAGACUUGCAUGAAUCACUGCAGAAUGAAGUAAACAGAGCAGGAGAAAAAUGUAUCCAAUGACAACAUUGUAAAGACAGACCACUUUGAAAAAUUUAAAAACUCUGAUCAGCACAGUGACCAACCAUUUUUUUCUCAAGAGGACUCCUGAUGAAAUAUGCUACCCAACUUCUGACAUUUAUGUGAUUGAUUUCUCUACUUGCCGUUCCAGUGAAUAAUCUGAAUUAAUUUGACCUCUUUCCUUUCCAAGGGACUUUUAAAAGUAUUCACCAUCACCACAGUUCAAAAGCAUGCAUUCUGUGGCACUCAGCUUUCCUCCUGUUUUGGACAUGGCCAAAUUGGGGAUUUGUUUUGCUUGCCUUUGAAUUACUGUUACAAGGAUUUUGCCUAUCUUUAGGGGGAAGUGGGGGUACUAGAAAAUAGAUUUUUGUUAAGGGUGGCCCUCCUUCCUUAGACUGGAGGAGGAAGCAUGAGAAGAAUCCCUUUUGGUCUUCCUCCCUUCUGGUACCCUGAUAUGUCAUACAUUUCUGAUAAUGUAUAAUAAUGGUUUAAGACUCAAGUU